rnacentral:rRNA from 1 species
AUUGAACGCUGGCGGCAUGCCUUACACAUGCAAGUCGAACGGCAGCACGGGAGCAAUCCUGGUGGCGCGUGGCGAACGGGUGAGUAAUACAUCGGAACGUAUCUGGUAGUGGGGGAUAGCCCGGCGAAAGCCGGAUUAAUACCGCAUUCGACCUGAGGGUGAAAGCGGGGGACUCGCAAGGGCCCCGCGCUAUUGGAGCGGCCGAUGGCAGAUUAGGUAGUUGGUGGGGUAAAGGCCUACCAAGCCUGCGAUCUGUAGCUGGUUUGAGAGGACGACCAGCCACACUGGGACUGAGACACGGCCCAGACUCCUACGGGAGGCAGCAGUGGGGAAUUUUGGACAAUGGGCGCAAGCCUGAUCCAGCCAUGCCGCGUGCGGGAAGAAGGCCUUCGGGUUGUAAACCGCUUUUGUCGGGGAAGAAACGGUGGGAGCUAAUAACUUCUGCUAAUGACGGUACCCGAAGAAUAAGCACCGGCUAACUACGAGCCAGCAGCCGCGGUAACAC